rnacentral:misc_RNA from 1 species
UGGAAAUAGAAAAAAUUGGAAAUGAUAGCCAAAAAAGAGUUCAGAUUUGAAUUACAAAGGGCUUUCUGGAACUCCUUUUGGAUUCAAAAAAUCUAGACUUAAAUUCUUCCCAAGAAAAGCCAACACCAAUUCCUUGGCCAUACCCGAAGCCGAUACCAAGACCACAACCCAUACCCACUCCGAAAACGAGUUUGAGAUGGUUCCAAUCGGAACCACCUAACCCUAGACCACCAAUUGCUCCUAGACCCACACCGACGCCACAGCCAAUUCCGAAACCGCCGCCUGGCCCUGAUGUUGCUUCUUCUAGUUUCCGGCUGUUCUCUUGGAUGAAAUCUGUUACAGAUUGUAGCUUGUCGUCACGUUUCCCCCUUUUUCCGUUGAGAUUAAUGCCCUUCAACUUCCAAAGAGAAUUCUUGUUGUCAGCUUUCCGAUAGGCAAAACCAUUG